rnacentral:rRNA from 1 species
GACGAACGCUGGCGGCGUGCCUAAUACAUGCAAGUCGAACGGAGCACUGAAUUUCGGUUUAGUGUUUAGUGGCGAACGGGUGAGUAACGCGUGAGGAACCUGACCUUUAGAGGGGGAUAACACCUGGAAACGGGUGCUAAUACCGCAUAAGACCACACUGUCGCAUGGCAGAGGGGUCAAAGGAGGAAUCCGCUAGAGGAGGGACUCGCGUCCCAUUAGAUAGUUGGUGAGGUAACGGCCCACCAAGUCAGCGAUGGGUAGCCGAGCUGAGAGGCUGAACGGCCACACUGGAACUGAGACACGGUCCAGACUCCUACGGGAGGCAGCAGUAGGGAAUAUUGCACAAUGGGCGAAAGCCUGAUGCAGCAACGCCGCGUGAGUGAUGAAGGCCUUCGGUCGUAAGACUCUUUGAUCAGGAUGGAUAAUGACAGGUACCUGAAAACAAGACCACGGCUAACUACGUGCUAGCAGCCGCGGUAAGUCGACUAUCGAC